UGUCAGGUGGUCAGAACCCAGACUAAAGCCAUGGGUCAUGGUGAAGAAGGAUAAAAGUAAACUGUUGUAUGCCAAAGGUUGGCCAGGAUUAUGUCCAAGAAUUGCACUCCAGUAGCAGGUUAAGACAUGAAUGGUGGGGAGCCAACAUGAGGUUUCCAGAGAGGCUUCUUUCACUUAGGCUUUGCAGCAGCACCAGGGCCUUCACCAUCAGUGAUGCUGGUCUCCUUAUCCAUAUUGCCUACCAGUACAUUCCUCCCCUGAUGCAUUGAUCUCCUGUACCUGUUGUGGAAGUUGUCAGGGACAACGAGCAGUUGUGAUAAUAAUUAAUUACUGAAAUGAUGAAGUCCAUCCCGGCAUGACUUGCUUAUUUUAUUGUGCACACUAAUACAACAACUUCAAACAUC